GAUGAACGCUAGCUACAGGCUUAACACAUGCAAGUCGAGGGGAAACGACAUCGAAAGCUUGCUUUUGAUGGGCGUCGACCGGCGCACGGGUGAGUAACGCGUAUCCAACCUGCCCACCACUUGGGGAUAACCUUGCGAAAGUAAGACUAAUACCCAAUGAUAUCCCACGAAGGCAUCCGAAUGGGAUUAAAGAUUUAUCGGUGAUGGAUGGGGAUGCGUCUGAUUAGCUUGUUGGCGGGGUAACGGCCCACCAAGGCAACGAUCAGUAGGGGUUCUGAGAGGAAGGUCCCCCCACAUUGGAACUGAGACACGGUCCAAACUCCUACGGGAGGCAGCAGUGAGGAAUAUUGGUCAAUGGGCGAGAGCCUGAACCAGCCAAGUAGCGUGCAGGACGACGGCCCUAUGGGUUGUAAACUGCUUUUAUAAGGGAAUAAAGUGGGUCUCGUGAGACUUUUUGCAUGUACCUUAUGAAUAAGGACCGGCUAAUUCCGUG
rnacentral:rRNA from 1 species